UACGUAGGGGGGCAAGCGUUGUCCGGAUUUAUUGGGCGUAAAGAGCGUGUAGGCGGCCAGACAGGUCCGUUGUGAAAACUCGAGGCUCAACCUCGAGACGUCGGCGGAAACCAUCUGGCUAGAGUCCGGAAGAGGAGAGUGGAAUUCCUGGUGUAGCGGUGAAAUGCGCAGAUAUCAGGAAGAACACCCGUGGCGAAGGCGGCUCUCUGGGACGGUACUGACGCUGAGACGCGAAAGCGUGGGGAGCGAACAGG
rnacentral:rRNA from 1 species